AUACGGAGGGUGCAAGCGUUAUCCGGAAUCAUUGGGUUUAAAGGGUCCGUAGGCGGACUAUUAAGUCAGAGGUGAAAUCCCACAGCUCAACUGUGGAACUGCCUUUGAUACUGGUAGUCUUGAGUUAUAUGGAAGUAGAUAGAAUGUGUAGUGUAGCGGUGAAAUGCAUAGAUAUUACACAGAAUACCGAUUGCGAAGGCAGACUACUACGUAUAUACUGACGCUAAGGGACGAAAGCGUGGGGAGCGAACAGGAUUAGAAACCCCAGUAGUCC
rnacentral:rRNA from 1 species